CUCCGGCUCCCCGAGUCCCCGGGGCUCCGGGAGGUCAGGCGGCGCCUCGCGCGGUCGUCCUGAGGCGAUGGGCAGAGAAAUGAGACAGUGUCUGCCGCUCCUCCCGAGUCCAGCGAUGCCAGUCGGCGCCACCCGGUCGUCUUCCCGGAGAAACCGGCCCGGAGUCACAAAGGGGGUGAUUUCCCAACGCCCCCAAGUCCGAGCCGGAAAGGAUGCUGCUGCCGGGGAUGCCGGGCUCCCACAUCCUGAAACUCCUAGUUAUCCUUAAACCCGGUCCCUCAGCGCUCUCUCAUGUCAAAACUCCCAGCAGGACCACGGCAGGGGCGCCUCCUCCACCGGAGAGCAGCGUCCACAGACACCCCAGUGACGACCCGCUGAACGGCGACAGGCGGGCGCCCUCCUCUGAGCGUGCGGCGGGACCGGGCUGUCGGCUCUGCGCUCCCCUCAGCCCCACAAGUUCCAGCCCCUCCGCAAGGUGAGGAAACCAGCAGAUGGGGAAGGAAGAAAGCAAACUGCCUCUGUGCACAGGACGUGCGUGUCCCCGUAGAAGAGCUCAGGGCAUUGACAGAAGCACGCCUAGAACGAGGCGGGAGCUCAGCAAGGUCCCAGAAUACAGGAAAUAAGAUGCUCAGGAAGAAACCUAUACGGAACUGUGUGCUGAAAAUCACAAAAUGCUGACAAAAGAAAUCUCAGAGACCCAGAUAAACGAGACACACCCGUGUUCACGGACCAGAAGACAACAAGGGAACAUGCCAGAUCUUCUCAAUAAAACUGACCUUGUCACAAUUAAAAACUUUUGUUCUGCGAGACCUUGUGGGACAUUUGGUCCUGUCCAGGGCGUCCACGGAGACAUUUGGUCCCUGCUUUGUUAAAGAAUAGAAACAUUCAACUCUGUUAAAAUUUUACGUUAUUAUUAUUAUAAUUCAUGGUGAAUUUUGGGUUUCACAUUUAUUCUUGUUCUUCCUCAUCUUGAAGUUCGGCAGUUACUCUUAAGUCGAUGAGCAGUUGCUCUCAAGUAUAUAUCAGCCUGAUUAGUGGCUUUAUAUUCCUUAUAUCUGUAAACAAUUUCAGUUACACGAAUUUGAUUGUGUUGGUAUCAUUGUGAGUUGGCGGCUCUAAUUGCGUGUGACCACCCAGAACCAGGAUGGUAACUUGUUCAUUGCUUUCCUGAUCGUCUUUUAACACUUCCAUAAAUGUCCACCUUGAGGGCUGGUGCAGCACCAGCAGCUCUGGAAAUGUGUUACACCAGCCUUCCGCUGCGUCGUUCAUCCUGUGAUCGCCGUUCAGUCCUGAGGCAUAGACUUGCCAAGUUCCUGGUGGAAAUCUUGGGGCUUCUGGUCUUCUGCUUCUGCCACGCCUUCCACGGACACACGUGCUCUCAACAUAACCUGUUAGGUCAUCUAAGUUUUCUUCUGCAUUCUCCACAAUGUAUUCAAAAUUUCAUUUACAUCUUCCAAAGGCACAAAUGGAAGUCCAGACAACAUGGACGCACACUUACGGCUGUCACUUUCCAUUGUCCUACACUCGUGUGUUAGAUCCAGAGAAGGUACUUUUUGCCACAGUGAUUGUGGAAAUUGACACAAGCAUUGUUUUACUUGUGCAUUUGGUAGGAGUAGUCGAAUCGCAUGCAUGUUUGCAAUCUCGAAAUCCAUCACGUGCGAUGAAGGGUUAACGUCGGGAUUUCUUUCCCCAGCAAACGUGAAUGCUUUCUCCUGCAUGUGUCUGUAAACGUCUCCUCGCCUUUUCCUCUUCGUGCAUAAGUCACUGGCGUCGUACAACCUAGUUCUACAGCGUGCACAGUAGAUAGUUGAGUGCACUGUGCGGUGCCGGCUGAAGGUGCCCUCACUGAAUGCUGUUGUACUGCCACUUAAAUAUCGGAUACUGUCGUAGGUUGUGUAAAUUAGAAUUCUCUCAUCAUCUUGAGCACCAGAAUCGUGCAUAAGAAGUGGUUCUCUGAGUCUGGUCACUUUAUAGCCUUCUGGAAUCGCAAUGUCAUGCAGUGAAAUUGGGACUGGGGGUCGAUGUUUGUUUUGAAUCCUAUUUACUUGCUUCUGUCUGAGUUUCUUUCUGGAAGCAUUAGCAGGACCUCUUCAUCGUGAAUACCAUGGAGAAUCAUCCAGGCGCCUACGAUGGUGCUGCAUGUGGGUCUUCUGUGCCUCGUUCUAACCUCCUCAGGGUUUUCCUUGCUUCCUCUUGACACUACGCAGUGUGAUGUUUUCCUGUCACAUCUUGAGUGACUGUCCUGUCGUGCAAACCUCGACUAGCUGUAUAUCGGGCCUGUAGAGUCUCCCCUCUCACAGCCCUGGGACCUUUCACUGCUAUCUCUGUUGAAGGAAUGGCAAUGGUAACAAAACCACUACACUGUUGCCCUGGCUUUUCUUUUUGUGAGCACGCUAUUUCUGCCAUAUUCCACUGAGAACUUUCAAAUAAAGAUGUCAUAUUGUCAGGCAGCAGAAGAAGGGUUAUUUUCUUCUUUUGUGGCCGUCUGACUAGCUCACAGGUUUACUUGUAGGGGAACCUUACUAAUGUCUUAUGGAUUCCACACCCCAUUUGGCCUGGCUGGGUCACCCACUAACACCUCUCCAAAUAGUGGAGACAUUUCUUGUGGUCUACCGCGAUCCUACCUGCACAGGACUUUGACUCAAGGGAAAUAUCGCCAACUAGCCCUGGCAGUGGGGUAAUUGUGGAGGAGAAUUAGAUGCCUGGUAUCCCUCAUGGCGGCCAUGACACAGGCCACUCUGCGGGAGAGAACACGGCGAGUUGCUCUGUCAUGUGUUCACAUCGACGUGUUCAUAUCAGUGUGUUCCCAGCCAGUUCACAUAGCACGUGACCCCACUCCUCCUUCCAAACUUGUCCAGAGUGACGCACCAGCCAUGUCCACCCAGAUGCCCAGCGACAUGGUUAUGCCCCACAUCUCGAGGUCCUGCCCUCAAUGUGCCAUUCUCUGCGCCCCUGACUGUAGGACUUUUUCCCCAG
ensembl:lncRNA